AAUUUGCACACUUUAAAAUUAAGUGAAUAGUCUAAUACGUCUUAACUUUUUUGUUUGUGAAAAUUUUAAUGAAAUGAAAGAUAAAUACAAACACAGAUAGGUACAAUACAGUUAAUAUAAAAUAAAGUGUUAAUUAUUAAAAGAGCUAAGUUCACUAUGUUCAAUAACAGUUUUUAAAUCUUUUAGAAAUCUAUUUUUAGACAGCCUAGAAGAUACAGAAUUUUUCCCAUAAUUGGUACGGUGGUAAGGCACUACAAGCAUUCUAGGCUCUCUAACGUUACAAACGGGUAUAUUUAUUGAAAAUAGCGGAAGAAUAGGAUUACAAUUUACAUUACCAGACAAUAUACGAUAUACGAACGACGCGUCAUAAAAUAUUCUACGAGAAGAUAGUAAGGAUAGUCCUAAAUAACUUAAAAUGUUUAUAUAAUUAUUUUUGUCAUAAAAUAUGUUAAAUUUGUAACAUACAAAUUUAACAAAU